rnacentral:rRNA from 1 species
UACGUAGGGCGCAAGCGUUAUCCGGAAUUAUUGGGCGUAAAGAGCUCGUAGGCGGUUUGUCGCGUCUGCCGUGAAAGUCCGGGGCUCAACUCCGGAUCUGCGGAGGGUACGGGCAGACUAGAGUGAUGUAGGGGAGACUGGAAUUCCUGGUGUAGCGGUGAAAUGCGCAGAUAUCAGGAGGAACACCGAUGGCGAAGGCAGGUCUCUGGGCCACUACUGACGCUGAGAAGCGAAAGCAUGGGGAGCGAACAGG